UACGAAGGGGGCGAGCGUUGUUCGGAAUUACUGGGCGUAAAGGGCGCGUAGGCGGCCCCUUUUGUCGCGUGUGAAAGCCCCGGGCUCAACCUCGGAACUGCCUUCGAUACUGCGGGUCUCGAGUCCGGGAGAGGUGAGUGGAAUUCCUAGUGUAGAGGUGAAAUUCGUAGAUAUUAGGAAGAACACCAGUGGCGAAGGCGGCUCACUGGCCCCGGUACUCGGACGCUGACGGCGACGAA
rnacentral:rRNA from 1 species